CCUACGGGAGGCAGCAGUGAGGAAUAUUGGUCAAUGGGCGAGAGCCUGAACCAGCCAAGUCGCGUGAGGGAGUACUGCCCUAUGGGUUGUAAACCUCUUUUGUCGGGGAGCAAAAGCCGGACGUGUCCGGCUGUGAGAGUACCCGAAGAAAAAACAUCGGCUAACUCCGUUCCAGCAGCCGCGGUAAUACGGAGGAUGCGAGCGUUAUCCGGAUUUAUUGGGUUUAAAGUGUGCGCAGGCGGAUUUUUAAGUCAGCGGUAAAAUCGUGGGGAUCAACCCCAUCCAGCCGUUGAAACUGGGGAUCUAGAGUGUGCGAGAGGUAGGCGGAAUGCGUGGUGGAGCGGUGAAAUGCAUAGAUAUCACGCAGAACCCCGAUUGCGAAGGCAGCAUACCGGUGCACAACUGACGCUCAGGCACGAAAGCGUGGGUAUCGAACAGGAUUAGAUACCCCUGUAGUC
rnacentral:rRNA from 1 species